UGAAACACCGGUUGCCUUACGAACACCGAAGUUAAGAAACGUCGAGCCUGGUUAGUAUCUCGAUGGGUGAUAGCUUGGGAAUUCCAGGUUCUGUA